GGGGCCCUGGCUCAGUGGCAGAGUCCCUGCCUGGCAUGCAGAAGGUCCCAGGUUCAAUCCCCGCUGGCAUCU